GUGGGGAAUAUUGGACAAUGGGCGGAAGCCUGAUCCAGCAACGCCGCGUGAGGGAUGACGGCCUUCGGGUUGUAAACCUCUUUCAGUACCGACGAAGCGCCGAUGAUGGUGGUGACGGUAGGUACAGAAGAAGCACCGGCCAACUACGUGCCAGCAGCCGCGGUAAUACGUAGGGUGCGAGCGUUGUCCGGAAUUAUUGGGCGUAAAGGGCUCGUAGGCGGUUUGUCGCGUCGGGAGUGAAAACCCAGGGCUUAACUCUGGGCUUGCUUUCGAUACGGGCAGACUAGAGGCAUGCAGGGGAGAGCGGAAUUCCUGGUGUAGCGGUGAAAUGCGCAGAUAUCAGGAGGAACACCGGUGGCGAAGGCGGUUCUCUGGGCAUGUCCUGACGCUGAGGAGCGAAAGUGUGGGGAGCGAACAGGAUUAGAUACCCGUGUAGUCC
rnacentral:rRNA from 1 species